rnacentral:rRNA from 1 species
AAAGGAAUUGACGGGGACCCGCACAAGCGGUGGAGCAUGUGGUUUAAUUCGAAGAUACGCGAAGAACCUUACCCAGACUUGACAUGUAGAGAAUCCUCUAGAAAUAGAGGAGUGCCUGCUUGCAGGAACUCUAACACAGGUGCUGCACGGCUGUCGUCAGCUCGUGUCGUGAGAUGUUGGGUUAAGUCCCGCAACGAGCGCAACCCUCGUUACUAGUUGCCAGCAGUUAGGCUGGGCACUCUAGUAAGACCGCCCACGCAAGUGGGAGGAAGGUGAGGACGACGUCAAGUCAUCAUGGCCCUUAUGUCUGGGGCGACACACGUGCUACAAUGGAUAGGACAGUGAGAUGCAAUACUGCGAAGUGGAGCAAAUCUAUAAACCUAUUCUCAGUUCGGAUUGGAGUCUGCAACUCGACUCCAUGAAGCUGGAAUCGCUAGUAAUCGUAGAUCAGCCAUGCUACGGUGAAUACGUUCCCGGGUCUUGUACACACCGCCCGU